GAGACCCACCUGUGGCAGACACUGUCAGGCACGAAGGGAAUAAAUUACUGCGUCUCCAGCAAGACCAUUACCGGGCACAAACCUUGUUGUUCUUCAUCUUGAUUAUCUGAACUCGGACGAACCGUUAUACACAGGGUGAACAUGACAUUAUUUUGUCAUCAACUUUUCAUCCUCCUAUGGAUUGUUGUCACAGUGUUGUCUUUUUCUUUAGGGGGGGAGUCCAACACCCAGACUCCUGGCACACACGACAGUCCUGGGCCCACAGAUACAUCCAUGACCCCAGGAGAUAGAUCCACCACCCUCUUAUCAACAACGACCCCAGUCUCCACUGAACCCAACUCCGCCACCACAGACCGAGCCACCACCACCCAGGACCCCUCAACUGUCCACCCUGGCACUGAUGGCACCUUACCGACAACAGCAGCUUUCUCUAAAACUAAAGAGGUCUCUACUUCGACAGACCUGACCUCCACUUCUGAUACGACAGAGUCUACAGGAGCAGUCGGCACCACUGCGACAGAAACAAGAACUAUCCUGUCCGUCAGCACAGCAGAGAUGACUUCCUCCCACAAGACCUCAGCGUACACUGUCACGUCCCCUGAGUCGACAGAAAAAGACAGUCAAUCUACAGACAGUGGCAUGACAACACCCACCACCACACCUGCCCUUAGCAGAGGGGUCUCUCCGUCUACCACGGAACAUGCCGGAGCCUCCUCUGUCACCACGGAAACAGGCCGUACCUCAAACACAACUCCAGACAUUGUCCCAACCAGCAGUACCAAAGAGCCAGGCACACAUGAAACAACAGCUAUCAAUACAGCUACCACAAAUACAGGUACCAAAGACAGUGAGACCACAGGUACAGGGAUCACAAAGUCCACCAUCCCACCAACUGGUCAGACCUCUCUGUCUUCACGCCCCUCCUCCACUACAAAGGGCCCUGAGACCUCUCUCCCAGUAACAGAGGGUGGUACCCUGUCUUCAACACGCCCCUCCUCCACUACAAAGGGCCCUGAGACCUCUCUCCCAGUAACAGAGGGUGUUACCCUGUCUUCAACACGCCCAUCCUCCACUACAAAGGGCCCUGAGACCUCUCUCCCAGUAACAGAGGGUGGUACCCUGUCUUCAACACGCCCCUCCUCCACUACAAAGGGCCCUGAGAUCUCUCUCCCAGUAUCACAUAGUACCUCGCCCUCUACCUCGACCACUGCCAAUACAGAGGGCUCCCAGGUCCCCACUACAAAGGGCCCUGAGACCUCUCUCCCAGUGACCGAUGGCGCCACGUCCUCAACCCCCACAGCUACCAUUACAGGGAGCCCUCAUACAGACAAAACCACUGGAACACAGGGGCCUACCGAUUCUACAACCAUAGCUGACACUCCAGCCUUGCCCCCCACCUCCGGCUCUUCCUCCAGCCCACCCUCUCCAGGCUCAACCCAAACCCCAGGCAGCAGCACUGAGGCCCCCAUAGACACCUCCACCACCACCCCUGCCACCUCACCCACCAUCACACCUACAGGAGAAACCUCUGAACAACCAACUAGCAAAACUAGUGAGAGCCCACUUCCUCCUUUCCACACCUCCACCUCCCCUACCAGUGGAAUCACCACCCAGCCAGAGUCAGCCAUCACUGCUACCACACCCCUGCCUCCACCCAUCUCCAUAUUGUGUCCCUCCACUCCCUGUCCGUAUGAUAGCAUCUGUCUCAAUGGCACCUGCCAGUGUGUGUCUGGGACCUUCCUCUUAGAGGGCCGCUGUGUACAAGCCCAAGUCUUCUCUGGAGACCUGCAUCUCAACCAGGCAUUUCAGGAUGAAAUGAGCAACCGGUCAUCAGUCAUAUUUCAGCAAACAGCAGCCAGGAUCUCAGAGGCACUGAGAAGAGUCUUGGAAAACGAGUCUGGAUACAGCCAAACUGACGUGGUGCUGCUUAGGCAAGGCAGUGUGAUCGCGACCGUGAACAACGUGUUUAAACUAGGCUCCAGUGCCACCCAGACUUCGACCAAUGGCGCUAUAGAGAAAGCCAUACAAGCCUGUGGCACGACCUGUGGGACUAUACUGGAAAGAGCUGCAUUUACCGCCACUGACCUAUGUGAUCAGGCCCCCCAACCGUGUGAUGUCCGCUCUACCACGUGUGAGUACAAAGAAGAUGGAGUGACCAGAUGCUCCUGUAAGGCUGGCUACAUCAACAGCUUCUACUCAAACCAAAGCUGCACAGCCUGUCCCAGUGGUCAAAGGUCAGAGGGAGACACAUGUGUGCCAUGCCCGUUUGGCUACGCUGGAUUCAACUGCACUGACUCGGCUCUGUUGGCAGUGGUGGUCAUCGCCUGUGUACUGGGGGGAGUCCUUCUCAUCAUGCUGCUGGCCUUGUUUGCAUAUUGCUGCUGGUACCGGUCGCAGUCAGUGAAGAAGCCUUCAGCAGAGUUCAGCAGCCCGUACCCUGUGGAGGACUUCCAGGGCCCCUGGUCCACCACCCAGGGCAUCACCCCGAUCCCCCGGGCCAGCACCAACUGGGCUUCAGCCCCCAUGGAGAUGACCGAAGGGGGCAGCACACACCACCUGGUCGACAUGAAGCCCCACACCAACGGAGCGGGAUUCCACAUCCUGCCUAAACGGGGGAAGAAGACCGGGUCGUAUGACCUGACCUCAGACAGCAUGAACACGUUCAAGGGGAAGAACCCGUCUCGCUACUCCUACCUGGUGCAGGGCCACGAGAACCCUUACUUCAUACCGGCAGAUGACAGGAGACCCGUAUGAGAACCUCAGCGACGUCUGGAGGCAAGGGCCCAUAUCCACACAGCGUCUCAGAGCAGAAAUGCUGAUCUAGGAUCAUUUUUUGCCUUCUUAAAUCAUGACUAAAAAAAGGGAAGACCUGAUCCUGGAUCAGCAAUCCUACUCUUAGAUGCUUUGUUAAUAUUUGCUGUUGGGAGGAGAGAAGGACGGGUUAGAGAGAGGAGGGAAGGC